AUUGAACGCUGGCGGCAGGCCUAACACAUGCAAGUCGAGCGGCAGCGGGUCCUUCGGGAUGCCGGCGAGCGGCGGACGGGUGAGUAAUGCCUAGGAAUCUGCCUGGUAGUGGGGGAUAACGUUCGGAAACGGACGCUAAUACCGCAUACGUCCUACGGGAGAAAGUGGGGGAUCUUCGGACCUCACGCUAUCAGAUGAGCCUAGGUCGGAUUAGCUAGUUGGUGGGGUAAAGGCGCACCAAGGCGACGAUCCGUAACUGGUCUGAGAGGAUGAUCAGUCACACUGGAACUGAGACACGGUCCAGACUCCUACGGGAGGCAGCAGUGGGGAAUAUUGGACAAUGGGCGAAAGCCUGAUCCAGCCAUGCCGCGUGUGUGAAGAAGGUCUUCGGAUUGUAAAGCACUUUAAGUUGGGAGGAAGGGCAGUCAGUUAAUACCUGGUUGUUUUGACGUUACCAACAGAAUAAGCACCGGCUAACUUCGUGCCAGCCGCCGCAGUAAAAC
rnacentral:rRNA from 1 species